rnacentral:lncRNA from 1 species
UCGUCCACCUCCUCUGCUGACUGUUCCUCUGCCUCCACCACUGUGAACGCACUGAGUUAAGGGGUUAAUCCCGACUGGUUCAGAAAACUAAACCAAUGUUAAACAUUUGCAUAUUUCUGCCUGUCGUACUAUAUAUCUAAGUGUCCAUGCAGACAGACAUCAAAUGAACACAGACCAUUUGAACACACUUUCCAUCACAUGGAAAUAGACCCCACCUCAGUUUGCUAAAUGCUAAUGAACAGUUUCUCAUAGUUACGCCCCACUAAGUCUAAAAGCAACCACAUCAGUCAAAAGUUCAUUAAUUCUAGGGAAAUGCUGAUCCCCUUCCAGUUUACCCAUCUCAUUUAUUCUCUUGAGAAUAUCAAUGACAAUUUUCAUAGAAAUGUCAACCUGCCCCGCAGUACUGAAGCCGCUGCAAGUUAAUCUUCCAUUUUGGAGCAUUGCCUCAUCUGAUCCAAUGGUUUACCAUCAAAACUUCAUGUCUACAGAGCCAAAGCUCCCCCAAAUUCUGAUUCUGUUGCCAACGUUGUUGUACUGUGAUAGAAAAACACUUCUGCCUCAAACUUAUUUUUAACAUGCUGAAGGUAAACGACGGCACCACAAAUCCAAAGCUUUUUUUGUUUUCAAACGUAACCCAUCUACGGCAAUUUCAGGUUAUUACAAGAGCUAUAUCUUCCUUUCAUCUGCUCUUGCUUUAUGAUAAACCAACCAUGAGUGCUUAGCGGUGAAAGUAUGAUAUUUAGCCUUUUAUCCCAAAUAUUUUCAAAUAUUGACCUCCAUGAAAUUUUCAACAUUUUCCAGAAGAAGUUAAAACCGUUAGCAAGAUUUUCCAACUAAGAAAAUUGUUUUUAUAAAAGUUUGAAGAACCUAUGGGCAGCUAAAACCAAAGAAGCUGCAAGACUAACAAACUAACUCUGAAGCCUUAAAUAAUAUUUUCUCACCAAAACAGUUAAAUGAGUAAGUGGAAUAGGGCCAUAUGACUAUACCUAUCUUCUUCAAACACAGAAUUAUUUUCAGAUUUGCCUCUUCACAUCCAGAUCAACUUCUAUAAUGUAGUGAACAAACACAAAUUUUGUGGUUCAGAAGCAUAUCAUAAAAGUCCAUAAAACUGAUCCUUGAACCAAAAACUAACCCCUAAAAAAAAGAAUCAGUCCAUAUUUUCACGCAUACUUUAACUUAUCCAGUAAAAAUGUGAGAACCAAAUUAUAUUGUACAGUAACCAAGAAAUUAUACCUCAUCAUUAUUGAUUAUCCCUGCGUCAUCAUUCCUCUCAGACUUCUUGCUCCAUACUAACUUGAAAAUGGAGUGCAUCAACUCCUGUAGAAUGCCAGCAAAUCAAAACUGAGCGGCAGUAUGGAGAGAGACAGACAGAGACACAGAGAGAGUGAACCGACUGACUGGAUCAAAAGAGAGAUCCUCCAUUUGAAUAUCAUGCGGUCUAUAGGUGGGGCGGGCUAAAAGCAGCAACCAGAAAGUGAAGAGCUUCAGAAAUGAGAGGUCUCUUGUCACCCAAUCCCACAGCGAUAGGGAUUGGGUAGGAUGGAGUAAUCAGGUCAAUCCCAACCAGAAUAAAGGACCAGGCUCAAAUAAAGCCACACAGGCUCUUCAACUUAAUUUCCAGGAUGACGGCUACCAUUCAAUUUUCACCUUCCACUGCAUAAAAGUAAGCAGAGAUGUGAGGGAAAUAUUCCAUACUCUAAACUAAUUAAUGCAUUCAUUAUGUUCAAAUUUUAUAAAAAAAUUAUUAAUACUAUAAUUUCGCAUAAAGUCGAAUACGACCAAAAGUUGACAUUUCAGGUGCAACUGGAUAAACCAUAACCAAAAACAACGACUAACACAACGCUAAACCUAAACUUUAAGCCUAGAAAUAAAACAGGUCCGGUCUGUAUCUGGGCCAAAACCUGAGCUUGGAUAUGUUCGCACCCCAGUUUCGUGCAUAGAACAAAGAAAAAAAGUGAAAACAAGGCAGUAUUUCUCUCCCUUUGAGCCAUCAGUGGAUCAAAAUUUCAGUUAGACUAUUGUAUACAUUAAAUGAUAGCACGUCAUAAAAUUAUCGUGUGACUAAAAAAGUAACUAAUCUUCAGAGCUCAGCAUGUCUCUUUAGUCCUGACAACAAUCUUCCUCGAAUCCUUGAGAUACAAUGAGAGGAAAACAUGAUCAUCAAGAGAUAUCCUAACAUAGAUUUAUAAACUGUGUGGAAUGAAAGAACUUCAUCAGCUCACCAAUUACUUCUUAAUACAAAAAAGGAGACAUCACACGUAAAUCUUCAAAUGAGUGGCCGACAUGGUCUGCACAUAAAGCCAUUUGAUCCAGCUCUGCUCUUGAUUGGGACAAUUUAACAUAUCUUCUUCCUAACCUUGCUUUAAUACCACUGUUUUUCAUAGGCCCCAUCCCAUUUCUUCUCUUAAGGCAAUAACCUAACGCCCAGCUUAAUGGAGAACGUAUCAACAAGGCAACAUACAAAGCAUCAUUGAAAGCAUCUAGUUAGUAUUGAAUCAAUACCGUUCAAAUAAUCCAACUCUGAUUUUAACCCGGAGAGAACUAAUUCAUCGACUACAAUAUCUCGAACAUCACUGAAUUAUAUUCAUACUAAGAGAGACUCUCACAAUGCUACAAGGUGAUCACAUUUACAACGGGAAAUCCACUAAACCCUUGGGAGCUAAUCUUGGAGGAUGGGGGAAGUUCUUCAAUCCAGCAGGCACAUUCGCAUCUUAGCAUUCCAAACAUGUUAUGUACAAGCAUGAGCAAAAUUAGUUAUUAGUUUAGCAUAAGAAAAAAAAUCCAAAUAGUUAUUAGGAAUCAUCCACGUCCUAAGUGAAAGCAUUACCAGCAACAACUUCAUGAAUUGUUUCUUGCCUUUGGCAUCGUCAUGUGACAUUUAAUUUCCUGAAGACUUAUACUUGUUUCCAUGUAGAACAUAGAUUUAAACCCUUUAGCACCCAAAUUAGGAACUUGAAUGAGAGGCAUUCAGCCACAACGUCAAAAGUGCGAUGUAGCAUCUUUAUUGGUCAAAGAAUAGUUAGUACACAAGCCUGGGUUCCAUCUAGAAUGUCACACAACUCUACCUCUUCUCUCCGACCUCAGCACACUGACCAUUGGGAGAACACCUUUUACCCUCAUUGCCCUUGAGACGGAUCCGAGAAUGCAAUGCAAAUAUGGAGUUCAUAUCUUUCCCAACAUGGAUCUAUCACACAGUCCACUAAACUUUUCAGUCACUAAUGACAUAUAUUCUUAGCAAAAAUUUCCUUAGUUUCGAUAAAUAAUCUAUAAAACGACAGUCUCAGUCAAAUGAAUCCUUUUAAGCAUGCUGAGUAGAAAAUUUUUCCGAGAAAUAUAAAUAAAUAAUCCUAAAGGUAUUAAACGAAAUUAAGAAAUUAUUGUUAUUGAACUAUGAGCUACAGGUCUAUUCCUCGACAGAGGCACGUGUAGAAUAGGCCUAUACAAAAUGGCAUCUCGAAUGAGAAUUACAGUGGCAUGUCCAUAGGUUGACCCUUCUGAUUAUUGUAUGUAAAAACGGCUCCAACUGAAACUAAGAUUCGUGGCUCAGUCAUUCAAACUGGACUCAUGAAUCAUCGGUCCGAGGCCCCCAUUCCCAACUUCUAGCAACCAUGGACUCCUCGCCAGCUAAGACCCAGAGAGAAACUGUUGUCUGACCCUUGCCUGAGCAAUGACCGUCCUUAAUCUUCCUGAAGCCUUGCCAGGCCUUGGAGUUCCCACCGUGACAGAGUGUGCCAGCCAGCCCGUAGUCCAUAAUCUCACACGAAGCCAGAAGCCAAUGACAAUCCUUUUGGCUGACCUGAAAGUCCAGGUCGCCGAUGCGGAAAACUCCAGCAGCGCGACAACCCCGUGUCCCACUCCCGGCAGAUCCGACCAGCGGUGGCGCAGGGACCACGUGCCCGGGGAAGGAGCCCUCUUAUCAACUAUUAUAACGCAUGCCCCAAUUGGAAAAAAUGAAAGAGGGGAUAAAGCAAACCACUAGAGCACCGAAUUCAUCUCCCUUUCUUCACUGCGGCAGCUUCCAGCGCCCAUAGUAGCAGUAGUCGAAGCAACAGACGGCUCCUCUUGCUAAGCCAGGAGGACGGACACGUCGGAGACUAUCUGCCACAACCGGGCGGAGAUGAGUAGAGAAGACUUUGGGUGAACGCACGAGGAGAAGCUUGAUGGCGCCCUCUCUU